GUGGCGAACGGGUGAGUAACACGUGGGUAAUCUGCCCUGUACUCUGGGAUAAGCCUGGGAAACUGGGUCUAAUACCGGAUAUGACCUUUCACCGCAUGGUGGGGGGUGGAAAGUUCCGGCGGUAUGGGAUGAACCCGCGGCCUAUCAGCUUGUUGGUGGGGUAAUGGCCUACCAAGGCGACGACGGGUAGCCGGCCUGAGAGGGUGACCGGCCACACUGGGACUGAGACACGGCCCAGACUCCUACGGGAGGCAGCAGUGGGGAAUAUUGCACAAUGGGCGCAAGCCUGAUGCAGCGACGCCGCGUGAGGGAUGACGGCCUUCGGGUUGUAAACCUCUUUCGCCAGGGACGAAGCGCGAGUGACGGUACCUGGAUAAGAAGCACCGGCUAACUACGUGCCAGCAGCCGCGGUAAUACGUAGGGUGCGAGCGUUGUUCGGAAUUAUUGGGCGUAAAGAGCUCGUAGGCGGUUUGUCGCGUCUGCUGUGAAAACUGGGGGCUCAACCCCCAGCCUGCGGUGGGUACGGGCAGACUAGAGUGCGGUAGGGGAGACUGGAAUUCCUGGUGUAGCGGUGAAAUGCGCAGAUAUCAGGAGGAACACCGGUGGCGAAGGCGGGUCUCUGGGCCGAUACUGACGCUGAGGAGCGAAAGC
rnacentral:rRNA from 1 species